rnacentral:lncRNA from 1 species
AGGGAGGAGGGAUGGGCGGAGCCAGAGCAAAAGCAGUCACCCAAUCAGAGGGAAACCUUGGCGCCAGCUUCCCUGUCCCCGCCCUUUUCCUUUCCUCCGCGGCAGUGCGCGGUCUCCCGCCCACUGGGCGCCGCUGGCUAGCUCCGCCACAGAGAAAAGCCUCCAGCCGGGUAGAGAAACGACUCCCAGUCGGAAGUUACGGUUGAAGCCCAGGCAGCCAUAAUUGAUGAUGGCAGGAGGCGUUUCCUGUCACCCGUUUGACGUACGCUUUUCCUGCAUUUGGUUCCCCGUUACCCCAGGCAACAGCAGAGCCGUCUGGAAAGGGAUGCACCUGUAAGUAUACUUACGGAGGAUGUGCACACACACAGUCCACACUGGGCGAGUUAAUUCGCGCUCGGGAACUGCAGGUUUGCUUGCCAGACCCUUUACGGAGCCGCCUGAUCGCUUACCUAGAACUACAGUUUAGGGCUUCAAAACUCCCUCGCGCCGGAAGUUGCGCUUGGCACUUCCUAGUAGGGUCAUGGCCAGGAGGUGGGAGUAGCCGGACCCCGCCUGCGCCCCAGGGGGUGCCUCCUCUCCCAGAGCUGAAGAGUGAGACAUUGUCUCAUGUAGUUCCUUCUGUGGACGUUUGGAGUCAAGAAGUCAAUCGUUCUGAUAACUACAGAUCGGAUUCCUAAAGGUGCAAGAAAAAAAAAAAAGAACAAUUUUCAGGUAAAUUGAAAUAUGCUUAUACCUAACCAAACGAAAAUUAAAGUACAAAUCUACCUUCUCUACCUGAGGUUUACUGUUGUAGUCAGCUGUCACCUUUUGUGAUGUGUGCCCAUUCACCUGCCUGGUAAUUGUUAACAUUCUGCUAUGUACACAUUUCUUUCCUAUUCAUAUUCCAACUUUAGUACUAUUUAGAAGUCAUUUAUAGGUCUGCAGUUAGGCAGACCCUAACAUAAAUUUGCUAAGAAUUUCGAAGUUGAGAAUCUGCAGAAUACAGUAUUCUUACAACCAAGAAAAGUGGCAAUUUUGUAAAAUAGAAUACAGAGAAUUUAUAAAUCACACUCCUGUCAAAGUUUGUGUUAUACAUGGACGUUGCCACCUUAGAACGUUAGAUCGUCUUCCCCUCUGCGACACUGACAUUUUUAAGAAGUCAUCGCAGAGGUAUUGUUGGAAAGGGAUUCCUUUUCUUAUUUCAUGCGAACCAGAAGUUAGACUGGAGGCCUGACUGACUGUGUAAGUACUUUCCCAGCUGGGUUCUCAGACGCAGCUCCAUGUGCCCGCGCCUCCUGUCACUAGUAGAGUCCAUCCCACCUGUCAAGCUGAGGGUUUGGCAUUUGAUUUCCCUGUGUGUGUAGACUAUUUCAUAGUGCUCUAGGCUGGCAGUGUAGACUGUCUCCCUUUAAUAAAUGUUGCUACUUUGCCUAUGCUUUAAGCUGA